ACAUCCAAGGAGCGUUGCAGCGGGUGGCAAAGACCCCGUCAGGCUUGGACCAUGUUGUAACCGACCGCAACGACGCUCACCUGGU
rnacentral:ncRNA from 2 species